AAAAGAAACCAACAGGGAUUGCCCCAGUAACGGCGAGUGAAGCGGCAACAGCUCAAAUUUGAAAUCUGGCUCCCCCCUGGGGGGUCCGAGUUGUAAUUUGGAGAGGAUGCUUUGGGCGCGGCGCCUUCCGAGUGCCUUGGAACAGGACGCCGGAGAGGGUGAGAGCCCCGUACGGUAGGACGCCUAGCCCGUGUAAAGCUCCUUCGACGAGUCGAGUAGUUUGGGAAUGCUGCUCAAAAUGGGAGGUAAAUUUCUUCUAAAGCUAAAUACUGGCCAGAGACCGAUAGCGCACAAGUAGAGUGAUCGAAAGAUGAAAAGCACUUUGAAAAGAGGGUUAAACAGCACGUGAAAUUGUUGAAAGGGAAGCGCCUGUGGCCAGACGUGCGCCCCGCGGACCACCCGCCGCUCUGCGGCGGGGCACUCCGCGGCGGCGCAGGCCAGCAUCGGCUCUCCGAGGGGGACAAAGGUCGCGGGAACGUAGCUCUUUCGGGAGUGUUAUAGCCCGCGGCGCCAUGCCCCUGGGGGGGCCGAGGA
rnacentral:rRNA from 1 species